CAGCAGAAGCAGAGGCCGACUGCCCGAGAGCACAGCUCCUCUGCUACUACCUUCCCUUUCUUCCCUUCCCCCCCAUGGCGGCCCACGAGGCCUCCGCCCCCGCCACCGCAGCAGCAGGCGACGGGGCGCGCCGCCCGCCGCCGCGCCCCACGCUCUCCCUGCCCCCGCGCUCCGCCGUCGAGUCCCUCUUCGCCGGCUCCUCCUCGGCCGGCGCCGGCGCCGGCGCGCUCUUCCCCGACACGCCCUCCCCGGCCUUCCACGGCUCCUUCACGCAGCUCCUCGUCGGCGCCAUAGGCUCGCCCGCCGCCUGCUCCGCUGCGCCGGCCGUCCCCACGCCGCCGUCCCCGUUCUCCGUGCCACCGGGGCUCAGCCCCACCGCGCUCCUCGGCUCGCCCGGCCUCUUCUCUCCCACGGGGAGUUUCGAGAUGUCCCAUCAACAAGCCUUAGCACAAGUAACAGCACAAGCAGUCCACUCACAGUUCAAUAUGGUCAACCACUCAGAUUUCUCGAUCCCUUUCUCGUCAACAACAAGACCAGCUUUGACAUCACAGCAUCAGCAUGUCAACCCUACCAAUGUGACAUCAACGCAGGAGAUAUCAACUCUGCCAUCACAUACAGGUAAAAACAACAUUGAGUCUAAUGAGGUUUCACAAGGACUCCAAAAUUCUGCACCCACUUUUGAUAAACCUGCUGACGAUGGAUACAACUGGCGGAAGUAUGGCCAGAAGGCAGUUAAGGGUGGGGAGUAUCCAAGGAGUUACUACAAAUGUACCCAUGCAAGUUGUCCAGUUAAGAAAAAAGUGGAGCGCUCAGGAGAAGGACACAUCACUCAAAUAAUUUAUAGAGGUCAGCACAACCACCAGCGUCCACCGAAAAGGAGGUCCAAAGAUGGUGGUGGUCUACUAAAUGAAAUAGAUGAUUUCCAUGAGAAUGAAGAUGCUUCAACUAGAUCAGAACCAGGCUCUCAAGAUUACUCCGGAAAACAUGGGGGUUCCAAUGAUGGCAUAGCAGGGCCUCCGGUGUCAAGGAGGAGAGAAGGAGAUGAGCAAUUGUCGGGCUCAAGUGAUAGUGAGGAGGAGGAAGAUGCUGAACAAAGGGUUGGCAAUGGAGAUGCUGGUCGUGCAAAUGCAAACAGAAGACAUGUGCCGACUCCAGUCCAAAGGAUAAUUGUGCAAACAACUAGUGAGGUUGAUCUUCUGGAUGAUGGUUACCGAUGGCGCAAGUAUGGGCAGAAAGUGGUAAAAGGGAAUCCACACCCGAGGAGUUACUACAAAUGCACGUAUCAAGGAUGUGAUGUGAAGAAGCAUAUCGAAAGGUCAUCACAAGACCCAAAGGCCGUCAUAACGACAUACGAAGGGAAGCACAGCCACGAUGUGCCAGCAGCCAGGAACAGCAGCCAUGCUGCUGCCGCUGCUAACGCCAACGCGUCAUCCUCCACCAGCUUACCACACAGGGGGCAGAAUUCAGCAUCCAGUAGGCGCAGAGGAGCAGAUGUGUCGUCGGCCUCUUCUAUGCUACUAAAAGAGGAAAAUGAAAUAACAUAAAGUUUUGGAGUCUCUAGCAGCCUGAAUUAUUCUGUUCUCUGUCCAUUUCCCAGGUGUGCUGCCUCACGCGCUGUGCUGGAGCAAAUUGGCAUUGUAAGUCCUGCAUGGUUUCAGCGAAGAGCGAGAUCCUUCUGUUUGCGCACUUCCGGGAGCUUUGCACUUCCUGUUUUGCAGCACUGUGUUGUUACCCCAUUGGUUGUCCAUGCCAUUAGUCUUACCCAUGGAGAACUACAGUAGAUGACAGCUUUCAUCAGCCAAUUGUAUAUGCUCUAUUUGGAACGUUCUGAGGUGGUUUGUAGAUACACGGCUCCAUCCUGGUCUCUGUAUCCAAUCUCGAAUUCGUCGAUGUCGUUGACCAGCAACGAAAUUUGUUCGUUAAA